GUGAUAGAGCAGUGCUGUGUGAUAGAGCAGUGCUGUGGUGUAGUGAUAGAGCAGUGCUGUGUGAUAGAGCAGUGCUGUGUGAUAGAGCAGUGCUGUGGUAUAGAGCAGUGCUGUGUGAUAGAGCAGUGCCGUGGUGUAGUGAUAGAGCAGUGCUGUGGUGUAGUGAUAGAGCAGUGCUAUGUGAUAGAGCAGUGCUAUGGUGUAGUGAUAGAGCAGUGCUAUGUGAUAGAGCAGUGCUAUGGUGUAGUGUCAGAGCAGUGCUAUGUGAUAGAGCAGUGCUAUGGUGUAGUGAUAGAGCAGUGCUGUGGUGUAGUGAUAGAGCAGUGCCGUGGUGUAGUGAUAGAGCAGUGCUGUGGUGUAGUGAUAGAGCAGUGCUAUGUGAUAGAGCAGUGCUAUGGUGUAGUGAUAGAGCAGUGCUGUUGUGUAGUGAUAGAGCAGUGCUAUGUGAUAGAGCAGUGCUAUGGUGUAGUGAUAGAGCAGUGCUGUGGUGUAGUGAUAGAGCAGUGCUGUGGUGUAGUGAUAGAGCAGUGCUAUGUGAUAGAGCAGUGCUAUGGUGUAGUGAUAGAGCAGUGCUGUUGUGUAGUGAUAGAGCAGUGCUAUGUGAUAGAGCAGUGCUAUGGUGUAGUGAUAGAGCAGUGCUGUGGUGUAGUGAUAGAGCAGUGCUGUGGUGUAGUGAUAGAGCAGUGCUAUGUGAUAGAGCAGUGCUGUGUACUAGAGCAGUGCUGUGUGAUAGAGCAGUGCUGUGGUGUAGUGAUAGAGCAGUGCUAUGUGAUAGAGCAGUGCUAUGUGAUAGAGCAGUGCUAUGUGAUAGAGCAGUGCUGUGGUGUAGUGAUAGAGCAGUGCUGUGGUGUAGUGAUAGAGCAGUGCCGUGUGAUAGAGCAGUGCUGUGUAAUAGAGCAGUGCUGUGGUGUAGUGAUAGAGCAGUGCUGUGUAAUAGAGCAGUGCUGUGUGAUAGAGCAGUGCUGUGUGAUAGAGCAGUGCUGUAUGAUAGAGCAGUGCCGUGUGAUAGAGCAGUGCUGUGUAAUAGAGCAGUGCUGUGUGAUAGAGCAGUGCCGUGUGAUAGAGCAGUGCUGUGUAAUAGAGCAGUGCUGUGUGAUAGAGCAGUGCUGUGUAAUAGAGCAGUGCUGUGUGAUAGAGCAGUGCCGUGUGAUAGAGCAGUGCUGUGUAAUAGAGCAGUGCUGUGUGAUAG
ensembl:lncRNA